rnacentral:lncRNA from 1 species
UUUCAGCCCAAUAGUGCUUCUUCCUAUUAAUGUUACUCAGCUUGUAUGGAGCCCUUCACUCCUGGGGACGGCAGAACCCCUGCCUGCCCAUGGGAAGCAGUGAAUUAAUUCCUUGUUUUGCUUUGUUUCUGUGCACAGCUUUUGCUUAACCCGUUAAACUGCCUUUAUCUCAGCCCACAGGUUCUCUCACCUUUGCUCCUCCAACUCUCUCCCUGACCCCGCUGAUGGGGGAAUGAGCACGCAGCUCUGUGGGGUGUAGCUGCCACCUGGCAUGAAACCUAAACCAUGACACAAGAGCUGAGGAGAUUUCUCCUUCAGGCAAGCCCACAGGCAGCAGCUGGCCGCAGCUCCGGCACGCUCUGCGGAGCUCGUGAGGGCCCUGCGGAGGCCGUGAGGGCUCGGGCGCCAUGUUGGGAGAAGCGGCCUGUGGGCAGGAAGGCCAGCGAUGGCAGCCCUGCGGCUCGGGACAGCCAAAGGGCCGGGAAACGGGCAGAAAAGAGCCAGCCUGCAGUGCAGGAGCUGCAGGGAUCCAAGUCCCAGCUUAGCACCCAGGGAGCAGCCGUGGCCAGCAGGGCUCCGGCGCAGGCCGGCCUGCGGGCACCCGCACUCUGGGCUUCCACACCCUGGGGAACGAAUAGAACUUCAUGCUGAGUUUGAUACCCUUGACUUUGCAAUUAAGAGGUAAUGUGGAUAACCAGAAGUUUGGAGCACAUUGCACAUCAUCUCUGGAUAGGACACAACCCAAAUUCAGCCACCUGGAAACUGCCUGACAGGUGAGGAGCCAAACCCUCCCCUUCAGCAGAGAUUAGAAAUUGUGCCAAUUUGGCAAUGAACCAAGUAUACCGUGAUUUUAAAAUGUAAGUGGUGCUAGCAAAGCCAGAAAAAAGGCCAUAAGUUUAAAAUAUUGUUUUAUCUCCAGUAAGCACUAAGUAUUCCUUCCUUGCAUACAGUUUAAUCAAAUAUUAUGAAAAUAAAUUAUAAGUCACUAGAGACA